GGAGUUGUGGCUCAGUGGUAGAGUGCUUGCCUGGCAUGCAUGAGGCCCUGGGUUCAGUCCUCAGCACUGCA
rfam:Ictidomys tridecemlineatus contig011054, whole genome shotgun sequence.